GAAUAUGGAGGCCGAGAAUAUGAAACUAGGUGAUGUUGUCAUUAGAAGAAUGGAUGUUGAGGUCAAUGACUAUCCAAGUUCUGGAGCGAAUAAUCGCCACACUCCGAGCCACCCCUAGAGAUAUAUGUAUGUAUUUAGAGGCAGAUUUGGGAUGUCAAGCUAAGAUCAAUACGUUCGUUCACGAUCCGGCCUCAGGCUAUUUGUGUGUUAGUAAUAAGUAG
rnacentral:misc_RNA from 1 species